UGGGGAAUAUUGCGCAAUGGGGGAAACCCUGACGCAGCAACGCCGCGUGAAGGAUGAAGGUUUUCGGAUUGUAAACUUCUUUGAUGAGGGACGAUAAUGACGGUACCUCAAAAACAAGCCACGGCUAACUACGUGCCAGCAGCCGCGGUAAUACGUAGGUGGCGAGCGUUGUCCGGAUUUACUGGGUGUAAAGGGCGCGUAGGCGGGGAUGCAAGUCAGGUGUGAAAUCUAUGGGCUUAACCCAUAAACUGCACUUGAAACUGCAUUUCUUGAGUGAUGGAGAGGCAGGCGGAAUUCCUAGUGUAGCGGUGAAAUGCGUAGAUAUUAGGAGGAACACCAGUGGCGAAGGCGGCUUACUGGACUGUAACUGACGCUGAGGCUCGAAAGCGUGGGGAGCAAACAGG
rnacentral:rRNA from 1 species